rnacentral:tRNA from 1 species
UAACGUAUAGCCAAAAUUGGUAAGGCAAUAACUUUUGAUGUUACUAAUUAAAGGUUCAAAUCCUUUUACGUUAA